rnacentral:rRNA from 1 species
UACGGGAGGCAGCAGUGGGGAAUAUUGCACAAUGGGCGCAAGCCUGAUGCAGCCAUGCCGCGUGUAUGAAGAAGGCCUUCGGGUUGUAAAGUACUUUCAGUCGUGAGGAAGGUGUUAAGGUUAAUAACCUUAGCAAUUGACGUUAGCGACAGAAGAAGCACCGGCUAACUCCGUGCCAGCAGCCGCGGUAAUACGGAGGGUGCGAGCGUUAAUCGGAAUUACUGGGCGUAAAGGGCACGCAGGCGGUUAAUUAAGUUGGAUGUGAAAUCCCCGGGCUUAACCUGGGAAUGGCAUUCAAGACUGGUUAGCUAGAGUCUUGUAGAGGGGGUAGAAUUCCAUGUGUAGCGGUGAAAUGCGUAGAGAUGUGGAGGAAUACCGGUGGCGAAGGCGGCCCCUGGACAAAGACUGACGCUCAUGUGCGAAAGCGUGGGGAGCAAACAGGGAUUGAUACC